AUUGAACGCUGGCGGCAUGCCUUACACAUGCAAGUCGAACGGCAGCACGGGAGCAAUCCUGGUGGCGAGUGGCGAACGGGUGAGUAAAGUAUCGGAACGUGCCCAGUCGUGGGGGAUAACGUAGCGAAAGUUACGCUAAUACCGCAUACGAUCUAUGGAUGAAAGCGGGGGAUCGCAAGACCUCGCGCGAUUGGAGCGGCCGAUAUCAGAUUAGGUAGUUGGUGGGGUAAAGGCUCACCAAGCCGACGAUCUGUAGCUGGUCUGAGAGGACGACCGGCCACACGGGGACUGAGACACGGCCGAGACUCCUACGGGAGGCAGCAGUGGGGAAUUUUGGACAAUGGGCGAAAGCCUGAUCCAGCCAUGCCGCGUGCAGGAUGAAGGCCUUCGGGUUGUAAACUGCUUUUGUACGGAACGAAAAGGUUUGGCCUAAUAAGCUGAGCUCAUGACGGUACCGUAAGAAUAAGCACCGGCUAACUACGUGCCAGCCGCCGCCGUAA
rnacentral:rRNA from 1 species